rnacentral:lncRNA from 1 species
CUGGCAGACAACCAAACCAGCCCAUUUUGGAGCCACACAAAUACACAGUGAGGUUCCCACCCCAUCCUCCAUUUGUGGUAAAAGGAAACCCAGUAUCCACGGUGACCAGAAAGAAAAAAGAGCCAGGCUGUCUAAGGAGCAGCUGGCUUCUAGACUGAGAGUGUGUGUGUGUGUGUGUGUGUGUGUGUGUGUGUGUGAGGGAGACAGCGAGAGCAAGAGAGAGAGGGGGGGGGAGGUAGAGAACACAGAAAAGAGGAGAGAAGAACCACAGAAAAGUCAGAAUUGUGCAGGACCGAAAUAAAGAAAGCAGAGAGGAGAAGAGAACAGAUACGAAGGACCAGGGCCAUCACCGAGUUACUAAGAAGAGGAAAAACUAAAAAUCUGAAAACAGCUGUGACAGCGAGAAAGAGGAGCACUUGGACACUGCAGAUAACAGAGGGCGUUUUUGCAGUUACACCUAAAGUUGUUUUAAAAGCCUUGCCGGACUAAAACCGGUUCUUUUUUUUUCCUUUUGUGUGCAUGUAACUGGCGCGAACUGUCAGUCGACCAUCGAGCCCUGAGGACAUCAGUAUAACUCCAAGGUUGCAGUCAGCAGAGGUUUCUGCUAACUCCAAGUGUCCCCGUUCUCCCGCAACAGAGCCACACGCGCGGACGGGACGAACCAGGGCUCGGCGUCCACUAAGCCGUGUGAUCUGACCCAGGGGCCAAUAUGGAGGUAAAGGAGGAGCUGCUGGACAUGCUACAGAAAGUGUGGCUCAAGCUGCAGGGCCUGCCCCACGCCAGCGCCCUGGAGCUGGGAGCCUUCCUUGUCCUGAUCCUCUUUAUAGCCACCUUCCUGCUCAUGAUCAUGCUCUCCUGUGUCCACUGCUGUUGGUGUGGUAAGCCCAAGUACCAGGCCUCACGAGUGCAGCCCAUACACCCUGUCUGAGCACGGUGGCCUCCUUACUGCGGAGUUGCAAAUUCUUCUUGUACCCCCACCCCCCACCACGCGGGCCACCCCUCGUCCUUGUGUGCGCUUCAUCUCUGGCCGGGGUCCAUGCCCACCGCAGAUUUCACAGGAAGGGUGUCGAUCCCGCUGUGUAACACGGAGGCAAGCAGAUAGUCCAGACCCAGCUGGUCCUCCUCAGUCCAGCCUCCAGUGUGGAGGAGGUAACACUAUGGAAUCUUCUUCUGCUACAUGUGAAAGAAAAAUGAAGAAUCCAAAUUUAAAAGAUAGCAGUCAAAGGAAGCCAUCGUGACACCGGAUGCUUGAAAACAGACAAAUUCUUUCUUCUGUUUUUACUCCAUCAACAGCUGGAUCCCUGUUCUGGCCUCCAGAGCCCUCUGGCUCUUGCCAGGGAAAUUUACAUUUUUCAGACUGUGCAAUUACUUUCCACAAAGAAAACAACCAGUACAGAGGAAGUCACAGCUCUGCUCAGAAGCAAUGACUGCUGAACGAGCAAUGAAAGAUGAGCGAUAUAAAAAAACCCUGUGUUCUGAAUACAACACAAAAAAGGAUUUUAAAGCAAAAUACUAGACUUCCAAAAAAAAAAAAAACAUGAAAGACUGUUUAAAAAGUGCCUGUGGUCAUAGUGCUGCCAAGCAUUAUUCAUAGUUAGAGAGAAUUAUGAAAAAGACAAAUGGGCUAAAAAUGGGCUUCACAGUACGUUUUUUGCCAAGAAUUCAUCAGUCCCAGUAAGUCGCCAGUGACUAAGGAGUAAUCUUAAUGAAGAAAAACAACACAAAUAAAAGAGUGACAGGUUAAGAUUUUGUCCUGCUU